CUAGUUAUAUUUAUAGAUGUAUAUAGUUACAUAGUUAGAUGUAUAUGGAUGUUUAGGUACGUAUAUUGAUAUUUGUAUAGGUAUAGGCUGCUUUCUCACCUCUGCUACCUUUUCCAUCCCUCACUCUUCCCGCCAUGCUGCCUCUGUCCCCGCUCCCUGUGCCGCCUCUGGGCUGGUGGCCGGGCCGGGGGAGCAGCAGCUCCAGCCCCAGGUCCCGGCCCCCCGCACCCCCAUGGGACUGGGGGACCUUCUGGUGGCACCAGGCACCACUCCCCAAGGAGCUGCUGGAGGAUGGACUGCCCUGAAUUCCUCGUGAGCAGCAAGAGACUGAUGAGGGCCAAGAGAGAGAAGCUGACGACCACCAACCACAUCUUGAACAGGGACCUGCUGCUGCUGCUGCCUGAGACCCUUGAUGUCCAUCUGUACCUCUCCAGGAGGGCUGCUCUGCAUGGGAGGGAGAGACCGAGGAAGAGCCUGUGAAGAUGGGGCGGCUGGGAUCUCUCUGUAUAUACUUAUAUUUAGAGAUGUGUAUAGUUAUAGUUAUACCUAGGUAGUUAUAGGUAUAUAGAUAUUUACAUAUGUAGAUUGAAUAUUUGUAUAGGUAUAUUUAUAUAUUUAUCUAGUUAUAUAUGUACCUAGUUGUAUUUAUGUAUGUAUCUAGUUGUAUUUAUAUAUGUAUGUUAUAUUUCUAUCUGUAUUUUAGUUAUAAUUACAUAUGUGUGCAGUUGUAUAGCUAUGUAGUUAUAUUAUUCUAGUUAUAGGUAUAUGGAUUUUUAGAUGCAUAUAUUAAUAUAUGUAUCUAGUAAUAUGUAGGUAUAUUGCUAUAUGUAGGUAUAUUGUUAUAUUUUCAUUAUAUUUAAAUAUGUAUAGAGUUGUAUAGCUGUCUAAUUAUAUUGAUGUAGUUAUAGGCCUAUGGAUAUAUUGAUAUUUGUAUAUUUAUAUAUAGGUUCAC